rnacentral:rRNA from 1 species
AUACGGAGGGUGCAAGCGUUAAUCGGAAUUACUGGGCGUAAAGCGCACGCAGGCGGUUUGUUAAGUCAGAUGUGAAAUCCCCGGGCUCAACCUGGGAACUGCAUCUGAUACUGGCAAGCUUGAGUCUCGUAGAGGGGGGUAGAAUUCCAGGUGUAGCGGGGAAAUGCGUAGAGAUCUGGAGGAAUACCGGUGGCGAAGGCGGCCCCCUGGACGAAGACUGACGCUCAGGUGCGAAAGCGUGGGGAGCAAACAGGAUUAGAUACCCUGGUAGUCCACGCCGUAAACGAUGUCGACUUGGAGGUUGUGCCCUUGAGGCGUGGCUUCCGGAGCUAACGCGUUAAGUCGACCGCCUGGGGAGUACGGCCGCAAGGUUAAAACUUAAAGGAAUCGACGGGG